UCACAAAUCACUGGUGAAAACAAGGAAACAGAACCUUCACUCUGAUUUGGCUUUACAUAUUUACCACAUGACUUCCCUUUCAGAUCCUGCAAAGUGUGUCCUUUCAGAGUAGUGAAAGCCUACAAGUCUCCAACAAGAUUUCUACCAGUAUGGAAGCACAUUAGUCAUAUACUGCAGUAUAUGUUGUUGCUGUUCAGCAGCACUGAAAUAACACGCUAUCACCAGAACCAUAGCUAUUUUGAGUUUCAUCUUCCCAAGCUGCACUAGAAGAGACAGGAAAGUGGUUGGAAACCGAGGAUCAGAAGAACAAAGAAUAUAGCCUUGAGAAUGAGAAAAUUAACAUCAAUCUGUUGUUUGUAAUAGUCAACCAUAUGCUAUUUGGGUGACAUAAUAUAA